GACGAACGCUGGCGGCGUGCUUAACACAUGCAAGUCGAACGGUCACGCGCGUUUCUUUUUGGUGGGUGGGGAAGAGCGGCGAACGGAUGAGCAGCACGUGAGUAACCUGCUCCCUUCUACUGGAUAUCCGCAUGAAAGUGCGGCUACUACGGGAUAUUCUGGGCCUGUCGCAUGACGGGUCUGGGAAAGAUUUUGUGUCGGUGGGGGAUGGGCCCGCGGCCUAUCAGCUUGUUGGUGGGGUGAUGGCCUACCAAGGCGGUGGUGAGUAGCCGGCCUGGGAGGGUGGAGGAUCACGGUGGGGAUGAGACGCAGCCAAGACGCGGACGGGAGGCAGCAGUGAGGAAUAUGGGACGGUGGACGGGAGACUGAUGCAGCGACGGCGCAGGAGUGAUGGAGGCCUGCGGGGUGAGAACCGCUUGCGCCAGUGAAGCAAGGCUGCCUUAUUUGUGCGUGGGUUGACGGUAGCUGAGUAAGAAGCGCCGGCUAACUACGUG
rnacentral:rRNA from 1 species